rfam:Ornithorhynchus anatinus chromosome 10, whole genome shotgun sequence.
AGCGGCGUGGCUCAGCGGCAAGAGCACGGGCUUGGGAGCCAGAGCUCAUGGGUUCUAAUCCCGGCUCCGCCA